rnacentral:rRNA from 1 species
UACGGGGGGAGCGAGCGUUGUCCGGAUUUAUUGGGCGUAAAGGGCAUGUAGGUGGUCUUUUAAGUCAGUUGUUAAAACUAUCGGCUUAACCGGUAAUUGCAAUUGAUACUGGAGGACUUGAAUUUGAGAGGGGAUAGUGGAAUAUCAAGUGUAGCGGUGGAAUGCGUAGAUAUUUGAUAGAACACCUGAGGUGAAGACGACUAUCUGGCUCAUGAUUGACACUGAAAUGCGAAAGCAUGGGGAGCAAACAGGAUUAGAUACCCUGGUAGUCCAUGCCGUAAACGAUGGGAACUAGGUGUCUGGGGACUAACCCCUUGGGCGCCGUAGCUAACGCGUUAAGUUCCCCGCCUGGGGAGUACGAUCGCAAGGUUG